CGUGCAGGCGGCCUGGUAAGUCGGGCGUGAAAUCUCUCGGCUCAACCGGGAGGGGUCGUCCGAAACUACUAGGCUUGAGGGCAGUAGAGGGAGGUGGAAUUCCCGGUGUAGUGGUGAAAUGCGUAGAGAUCGGGAGGAACACCAGUGGCGAAGGCGGCCUCCUAGGCUGUCCCUGACGCUCAGACGCGAAAGCUAGGGGAGCGAACGGGAUUAGAAACCCCGGUAGUCCUAGCUGUAAACGAUGCAGACUAGGUGUUGGCAGCUUAAACCCUGCCAGUGCCGUAGCCAACGCGUGAAGUCUGCCGCCUGGGGACUACGGCCGCAAGGCUAAA
rnacentral:rRNA from 1 species